CCUUCAUCUAUUAUGUAUAUAUUAGCCAAACUAGUUUUCUCUUUCGUCUUCUCCUACCAGUUUAUAUAAGGAGUGUUGGUGUUGGUUACACCUAUAGUUCAGUCUUUAAACUACAGGAUAUCAGAUAGGAUUGUGAUUGAGCUGAAAAAAAAAAAAAAGAAUAUCCAGAGAUGGGUACAGUGAUGUUUGGGUUUUCAUGCCUUGCCUUUUGAGGAAGAGGGUAGAGUAACUAAGGACAGCUAUGAAAUCUGCAAAGGAAACUAGAAGAGACCAGCAGGACAAAGAGGCAGCAUGAGGAGCCACUGUGAGCUAGUAUGCGUGCUUGCAUUUCAGUAACGUAAUGGAGGCUGGAAGUCAAGACCAGGGUUCCCGAAUGAUCAGGUAGAAUGCCAGCAGAUGUGAAAUGAACAGUGCUACAGCCUUCCAGCAGUCCUAGCACAAGGAAUAGAUAAGCCACUGAGUAUCAGGGUUGUUUGUUAUGCAGCAUUGUUGCAGCAACAGCUGAUGAAUACACUUGACCUAAGGUUUGUAGGAAAAUGACCAAGAGGUCUUUAAAUGUGCUUGCAUGGUUUGUCUUUGUCUUUUGUAUUCCUCUCAUCUCCCAUGAGAUGUCCUAUAGCCACUCAUCCCAGGAGAAUGCAGACACAAGUGGAGCAGAUCUGAAUCCAACUUGCAGCCUGGAAAAGUCCACCCAAUCUCAACUCAGCCCGGCAGAGAUGCAAACUACCAGCAGAACUGUACACAGGAAAUUAAUGUUUGUUUCAAGCUGAUGAGUGUUGGAACUGCCUAGCAUUCACCCUUAUUUCAACCAUAGCUGGUGAAGAUGCAGUGAGAAGGCAGCCACUGCAAGUCAGGAAGAGAGCUCUCGCCAGAAACCCACCAUGCUGGUGUCCUAAUCUCAGGAUUCCAGCCUCCAGAACUGAGGAAAACCAAGUAGGAUAUGAAAUCCCCCCUUCCUCACUACCACAGGUUGGCAAAGAC
rnacentral:lncRNA from 1 species